rnacentral:lncRNA from 1 species
UGCAGAGCUUCAGAAUGAAAGCAGUGACUUCAGGUGACACAGGGACACGGGACACGGGGACACGGGACACGGGACACGGGGACACAAGGACACGGGACACGGGGACACGGGACAUGGAACACAGGGACACGGGACAUGCAACACGGGGACACAGGUGCAUGGGACAUGGGGACAUGGGACACGGGACACAGGGACACAGGGACACAGGGACACGGGGACAUGGGACACGGGACACAGGGACACAGGGACACGGGGACAUGGGACAUGGGAACAUGGGACACGGGACACAGGGACACAGGGACACGGGGACAUGGGACACAGGGACACGGGACACAGGGACACAGGGACACGGGGACAUGGGACAUGGGGACACGGGACACGGGACACAGGGACACAGGGACACGGGGACAUGGGACACAGGGACACUGGACACGGGACACGGGACACAGGGACACAGGGACAUGGGGACAUGGGACAUGGGGACACGGGACACGGGGACAUGGGACACGGGGACAUGGGACACAGGGACACUGGACACGGGACACGGGGACACAGGACACAGGACGUGGGGACACAGGACACGGGGACACGGGGACAUGGGACAUAGGGACACGGGACACCGGGACACAGGGACAUGGGACAUGAGGGACAUGGGUCUGUGGGACAUGGGACAUGGGGACAGGGACACGGGGACAUGGGACACGGGGACAUGGGGACACGGGACACGGGACACAGGGACACAGGGACACGGGGAACAGGGGACACGGGGACAUGGGACACGGGGACACAGGGACAUGGGACAUGAGGGACACGGGACACGGGGACACGGGGACACAGAGACACGGGGACAUGGGACACGGGGACACGGGACACAGGACACGGGACACGGGACACGGGGACACAGGACACGGGGACAUGGGACACAGGGACACGGGGACACAGGGACACGGGACAUGGGACACGGGACACAGGACAUGGGACACAGGGACACGGGACACGGGGACACGGGACACGGGGACACGGGACAUGGGGACAUGGGACACAGGACACGGGGACACUGCAGAUGCUGAGAUCACUUGGAGUCACAGUCCCGCGAGCCCCAGUGGCCUGCGGGUUUUGCUCGUCUCUGCUCUGUCUUCAGCUUCUCAGCCGUCUAGAGCUGCCUGACAGACCAGGAAGCUUUCCCUGACUCCUCCCGCCCCGAAAAACUCAACACACAGGACACAGCACACACAACACCACAUCACAGCACACGCAACACCACAACACAGCACAUGCAACACCACA